GUCUCGGCCUCCCAAAGUGCUGGGAUUACAGGCUUGAGCCACCGCGCCCGGCCUAUUUGAAAGUUUUAAAAGAGUCCAAGAUGUAUAGUAGAAAGCUGUUUCAGGUCCUCCUCCCACCCUACAUACAUAUCCAGUUACCUGUGCAUAACUUUUGAAUUGAUCCAAUGAUCUACACAGCCACUUCUGUCCUAUAUCAAAAUUACAUAAGUACAUGAGUCACUUUCUGGAUUUUCCAUUAUAUUCUUAGAGGAAAUAAACUAUUCUGUGCUGAAGUACAUGAUUUCAAUUACUAUAGUUCUGUAAUAUAUUGUAUAUAUGAUAGAGAUAUCCCCAGGCCUAGUUCUCUUCUUCUUGAGCAUCUUAGCCCUUUUUUCUGUUUUGUUCUGGGUAACUUCUUCAGAUUUAAACUCUAGCUAAUAAAUUAUCUCUUCAUUUUGCCCAAUCUGCUAUUAAGUCUAUCCAAAGAGUUAUUUUAAAAUUUGAACAAUUAUGCUUUCCCUUCCUACAAGUUCCAUUUGGUUCUUGUUAAACAGUUCUGUGUUUAGUUAUUCCUGGUAGCACCUUGUUAAUCUUUAUGAUUUGCACUUUAUUUCUUUAGAGGUUUUGUACAAGGCUAUUUGUAUUUGACAAUCUCAAUACCUGCAGUUUUUUUGAGGAUUUACAUCUGUUGUUUCUGCUAACUCUCACAGUGAGUUACUAUCAAGAAUGCUUGGUGACCUUUGAUUGUGAGUUAAUUGCUUUAUGUUAGUCUGUGGGAACCCUGCAGGCCUAAAUUGAUCAUGCUUUCAUCUCAAAGAUAAUUUACAUCUCCUACCAGUAGCUAUGAGGUGUCCCAUACCUCAGACCAACUCUGCCAGCUCCAUAUGGGAGUCCCAGGCUGGGCAACACUCUUACUACCAGUCUGAAGAUAAAAGUCUCAAGGGCAAUAUAGUUUUAGCAUCCCCCUUCAGGGAUUACCAACCUCUCUUUCUGCCUGUUGCUCACUGUCUUCAGCUCUCUCUCUCUCUCCUUCUCUCUCUCUCCCUCUCUCUCUCUCUCUCUCUUUCUUUCUCUCUCUCUCUCUCUCUCUCUAUAUAUAUAUAUAUAUACUACUGCUCAAGUGACAAAAAUCAAGAAGGCUGAGAAUACAAAGUGGUAAGAUAUAAUUUAAAUGAGGUUGGCGCAUAUAUAUAUAUAAAAUAUAUAUUUUCUCUCUCUAUAUAUAUAUAUAGAGAGAGAGAGAGGGAGAGAGGGAGAGAGCAGAAUAGUGGGUCCUGAGAUAUCUCCACUAGCCACUGUAAGUCCAGUAAUGUAUCCAAAGAUGUGUCCUAUCCAGGGUAGGACUGUUCUGCAGAGGUCCUCUGAGAACUUAAUUUGCCAGACUUCCAAAAUGGGAAGACGGAUCAUGGGCUUUUAUGUUCUUUAGUUUUCCUAACACCUUUCCCUUAACUACCCUCUCACCUCUAAACACCAGUCAAUUAUUUUCCCGUAACCCAAAUAAAAAUUGUAUUGCAAGUAUUUCUCAGCAAGUCUACAACUCACACUAAGUCUGGAGCAAAUCGAGGGCAAAGAUAUAAUCUCAUUCAUGUCUUUAUGGCUAAUGAUUUUUACAUAAUUACCAAUAUAUUGUUAACUUUUAAUAUAUAUUUGUCCAAUGAGUAGGUAAAAUAUGAAAAAUGCCCAUAAUUUGUCAAGGUAUGUUACUUAUAUAAGAGCAUCUAUCAACUAUAAUAUACUGUUUAAAGUUUAAAAAUUUUUUUGAAACAAAUACAUUAAUGCUAGGGUUAACUGAACUAACUUACAAAAUCUACAGCAUUCUUUAAGAGAAAAAUUCUGCUCUUCGUAGCAUCAAUUGGUAAAGAACUUCAAUCAUCUCUGGAAAAACACUAAUAGUGAACAUUCUCGUCAGGUGGCCUUAAAUUUUUUUUUUGAUAAAACAAAACCAUCAAUCAGAGUUUGAAUUCCAGCUUUGUCACAAGUUGACCUUAGGUAAGUUAACCACUGCUCCUCACUUUUCUUAUUGGUAAAAUGGAGAUUGAGUCUACCUUCUAGAUUGACUCAAAGAUUAAAUGUACUGAAACAUGUAAAGUGCUAAGGACAAUAUCUGGUACUUUAUAAAGUCUCAGUAAGUAUUAGGGAAUGUAUAAACAGAUUCGGAUAAAGUUGUCUUUCUAAAUCUGGAUUUCUGCACCAUAAAUAUUAUAGCAUCACAGAAGCAGCAUUAGAUGGAGGGAAGCGUACUUUCUAAAAAUACAGAGACAAGAAUCUGUUAUUAUUUAUCAUUUAGUAGGUAUUUGUUGAAUAUCUGAUGGGUAUAAAACACUGUACUAGGCUAAAAAAACCAGAAAGAUGAACAAGUGUUCUUACUUUAGAGAUCGUAUAAACUAGAAGAACAUGGUAAUUACUCAAAUGACUGUACUUAUUAGCAGAAUACUGCAAUACAUACCAUGGCUACUAGUAUUACAGAAGAGGCACAGAUAAGGCUCCUCCAUAGGGGGAUGAAUUUGUAUCUGAUUUGUUGACAUCCUAAGACAUUUCUUAGAACCAUUCAAAAAAAAAGUCCAACUGUGGUUUUCAAAUAAAGAAAGACAAACUCAGGAGAGGGAUGUGGUUUUUUCAUAAUUCUAGCAUUAACUUCUGACACAAUUAAAAAUACAGCCCAUGCUUCCUGACUCCCAUCUGGCACUUUCACUUGGGAGAAAUGUGAUUAGCUACCUAUAUUAGGAGUAAUUUUUAACAUUGCCUUUUCAAAACACGGGGGUGAAGUAGAGGAUACAAUAGAGGUGCCAACCUCAACUACUACCUAAGAAAAAGAAAGGAAAGGUUGGGGAGAUAUAAAUACACAUAAAUUGGCAGUCAGUCACAUCAAAUCCUUUUGGGGAGAAAUAAAAGCAGACUUAAAUGGAUAGACGAAUGAAUGGAAUCUGGGAGGGUUCUCAGAGGAAGCCUUAGAAGCAAAAAGAAAAAAAAAAUAAAUAAAUGUUCCAUGCCCCAUCUUAAACCCACAAACAAAACAUUUACUUUUUUUGUUUCCUUCCUUUCGUUAAUUAAAUAAAUUAUUUGGUGUCCCUGGCAUGUGCCUGGCACACUUCUAGGGUUUAAAGAAUCAUCGCUGAACAAAACAGAGAAUAUUUCCACUCUUGUGCAGUUUACAUGUCUGUGUUGUCUAGUAAAUGACAGACAAGUAAACAAGGAUCACCUGAUAGUGAGGAGUUCUAUACUGAGGAUUAAAAUAGAAGGAUAAGGUAGAGUGCUUUGGUGACUGUGUUAGAUUUGGAGCUGAGAGAAGACCUUUCUGAAGAAGACAUGGAGGAAACAGAAAAAAAUAUUCCAAGUUUCUAUGUGCUCAUGGAAGACUGAGAGCAAAAUCUUCUUCAGAGCUACCAGGGACAGAUGUUACAAAUAAGAAGAGAAUAUAGAGCUUAGAUGUUUCACAGCAAUGUGAGAAACACGCAUCAUAUUGAACACUGAAAAAGACUUCUAUCAAAACAUCUGGUUUGUUAUUUUUGAAUGUCUGUCACUUAUAAAAGCAUGUCAUCCAUCUGCACAGAGAAAAGGGCACCAGUGAAAGAUUUGACAGAAGCAGCAUCAGACAAAAUUAAGAUUAUGAAGAAAAUGCUUUUGAAAAAACAAAUUCUUCAUCAAGUAAUUAGUGAACAGACCACAAAAGAAAGAAGAAUGGAUAAAUUAGACAAAACAUGAUCAGUGCUGGUAUGUCUUAUGUAUUUGGAUAAAAUCUUCCAUGUACUACUACUCUUUUGUAACAAGUGAUUUUUUUCUUAAUAUUGGAAUACAUGUUUAAAAUGCAAGCUAGCACUGAAGUCAAAGAUUUUUAGAGGGAGUGAGGAAGGACUUAUCAUCAUUGCUUACCAUAAGUAAUAUUCUGAAUAAAUAAUAAUCUGACUUAGACAGUCCCAGGAUAUAAAUAUACAAAACGAAGAGGUAAACUCCAGACUAUAUGAAUCUUUAGUAAUUAUACAUCAACUUUAGGUUUAUCAAAUGAAUGAAUAAACUGAUAUUAAAUGAAAAAUGAAUGCACACAUGUAUGCCUUAGCUUUUGGAAUUUUUUCUUUCCAUGCCUUCUAGGGGUACUGUCUGUGUUACUGGUUUCCAGCUAUAUCUGGUGCCAGUGAGGAUAAGUUCUACCAAAGUACCUAUGGCAAGGCAGCCAAAGUGUUUCUGGUAUUCUAGACUGACGCCAAGGAGAUUCACUAUUUAAAAAAUAUCAUGGUAAUGAUUAGGUUACAAGAACUGUAAGUGCUUUCUUGAUAUCAUUUGUGAAAUACCUGAGUCUUUACACUUCAUAUUGGAAACGAGCCACUAUUUUUACUAAAAUUCCUAAUAUCAGUUCAGACAUUAUAUGCUGCAAAUAACAGAUUACCUACUAGCAGUGAUUUCUAUAAUGAUUUUUUUUUUUUUUUAAAUACAGAUAUAUAAAGUUAAGGAAGUCCAGCAAUGGAGAUCUCAGAACUUCAUGGUUGUUAGGGCUCUGAGUUGGCUAAUUUGUUUAGACAAUUUGGCUCAACUUUCUGAACACCAUAUCCUGAUAAACAAUGCCCCUAGGUAAAAAGGAUAAGUUGGGGGCUGUCCUUACCACCUCUCUGUUUAUAAAUCAGGAAGGAAAACAUUUCUUUGAAGGCUUACAUUCUAAGAAGAUGUAGCCUUAGAUCUCUCAUGCCAAGACUGGAUUACAUCUACAACGCUAAACCCAUCACUGGCAGUGGGUGAAUGGGACUUGUUUAGACCAGCUGUUGACCUGACCAGCAGUGUCGGGGUAAACUUGUUAGAAAUGCAAAUGGACCUCUUCACAGGCCCAGUGAUUUAGAAACUGUGGAGCUGAGGCCCAGCAAUCUGCUUAACAAGCCCCCAAGUGAUUCUGACUUAAGCUUAACUUUGAGAAGAGCUGAUUUAGAACAUUCUAGCUCAUAUCCUGGGUUUGACCCACCUUCUCUGAGCAGAUAAGGAAAAAUUCUCCUCAAGGUUCCGCGUAUGUUCCCUCUGCCUCCAGUGUUCCUCCCCCACAUGGGUGAUGCCCUCAUUCCCUUCAGGCAAACACUAUGCUUUUUCAUAUCAGGGACUUGAGCAUCCCUGAUUUUGGUAUCCUCAAGGUCCCAGAACAAGUUCUCUUUGGAUACUAAGGAAUGAUUGUACUUACUUGUUUGUGUUUGGUCUACUUCCUUCAACUAGAAUUUCAAUUCCAUAAGAGCAAAGGCUUUACUCUACUUACUCACUUUUCUAUCCCCAGGGCCUACAACAUUGUCUGGUAUACUAUGGACAUAAAAUAAAUAUCUGCUAUAGAAAUAUUGAUAUCCAAAUGAAAUAAGAAAUAAAAAAAAGGCUCAUGAAUAGACAAGCAAUAUUAUUAAAUUUUUAAAAAGCAUCUUUCACCAUAAACAUUAUGUUCAAAUAAAUUUACCUAUAUUAAAAGUUUUGCCAUUCUAUCAGAUUUCAUAGCUUUUAUCUAUGGAAAUGUCAGGUUUUUAAGAAAUAGAUUUGACUAACAUACAAACUUCUGCCAAAAGUAAAUGCUAAGUAACAAGGUUUCUUCUAAAAAAUCCAGAAAUUCACAGGAUGGAGAAAUUAGGUACAACCAAAGUAGUUUCGAAAUGUAAACUACUUACAUAAACAGAUUACAAUUCUUGCAAUUUCCCAUACCGUUGGUUUUGUUUCUUAGUUUUAGUCUAAGUAUUAUUCAGCAUCUUGAUUUCUUAUCAAUGCCCGCUUGCUUUACUUUAAGAAUAAUUUUAUGUAAAUAAGUACAUGUGUCCACAAAUAACUAUUUAUAUAUUGAGAAAAUUUUAAAUGACAUAAUAUGCUAAAUAUUAUCACACAAUAUAAAAUAAAAAUUCAACCGAAAUGCCUCUUUUGUUAGUUUAAUAUGGAUAAAGCGUAUUUCUAGUGAAAUACUUUUGAAGAUCCUUUAAGUAAAUUUUAAUAUAAUUUAUAUAUUUGCAUGAUUCAGCACAUUUAAAUCCAGCCACAAAAAUGUUACUUGUUAAGAUCGUUUGCUUAAGAAAAAAAUAAUUGCAGUAUAAAUUCUUGAUGGCAUCAUGCAAAAAAUCUUUAGCUGCUAAUUUACAAAUAAUUGUGUGUGUGCGUGAGUGUGUAAUGAAUUAGGGCACCAUAUAAAUUACAUAUACAAAGAUAGGCUGG